UACAGAGGUCUCAAGCGUUGUUCGGAUUCAUUGGGCGUAAAGGGUGCGUAGGCGGCGCGGUAAGUCGGGUGUGAAAUCUCGGAGCUUAACUCCGAAACUGCAUUCGAUACUGCCGUGCUUGAGGACUGGAGAGGAGACUGGAAUUUACGGUGUAGCGGUGAAAUGCGUAGAUAUCGUAAGGAAGACCAGUGGCGAAAGGCGGGUCUCUGGACAGUUCCUGACGCUGAGGCACGAAGGUCAGGGGGAGCAAACGGG
rnacentral:rRNA from 1 species